CCUACGGGUGGCAGCAGUGAGGAAUAUUGGUCAAUGGGCGCAAGCCUGAACCAGCCAAGUAGCGUGAAGGAUGAAUGCCCUACGGGUUGUAAACUUCUUUUAUAAAGGAAUGAAGUGAAGCACGUGUGCCUUUUUGUAUGUACUUUAUUACUAGGGAUCGGCUAACUCCGUGCCAGCAGCCGCGGUAAUACGGAGGAUCCGAGCGUUAUCCGGAUUUAGUGGGUUUAAAGGAAGCGUAGAUGGGUUGUUAAGUCAGUUGUGAAAGUUUGCGGCUCAACCGUAAAAUUGCAUUUGAGACUGGUAGUCUUGAGUACAGUUGAGGUAGGCGGAAUUCGUGGUGUAGCGGUGAAAUGCUUAGAUAUCACGAAGAACUCCGAUUGCGAAGGCAGCUUACUAAACUGCCACUGACAUUGAUGCUCGAAAGUGUGGGUAUCAAACAGGAUUAGAUACCCCUGUAGUC
rnacentral:rRNA from 1 species